UGGCUCUCGUUUCGAUGAAGAACGCAGCGAAAUGCGAUACGUAGUGUGAAUUGCAGAAUCUCGUGAAUCAUUGAAUCUUUGAACGCACCUUGCAGUCUUUGGACUAUGCCUGUUUGAGAAUCUCCUGACCAUUGGGUGUCUGGCAGUCAGUCGCCCCAAAUGCAGCGGCAAGAAACAGCCACGCGCAAGAACGGUCUCAAAUCAGGCAGGACUACCCGCUGA
rnacentral:misc_RNA from 1 species